UGGGGAAUUUUGGACAAUGGGCGCAAGCCUGAUCCAGCAAUGCCGCGUGCAGGAUGAAGGCCUUCGGGUUGUAAACUGCUUUUGUACGGAACGAAAAGCCUCUCUCUAAUACAGGGGGGUGAUGACGGUACCGUAAGAAUAAGCACCGGCUAACUACGUGCCAGCAGCCGCGGUAAUACGUAGGGUGCAAGCGUUAAUCGGAAUUACUGGGCGUAAAGCGUGCGCAGGCGGUUUUGUAAGACAGUGGUGAAAUCCCCGGGCUCAACCUGGGAACUGCCAUUGUGACUGCAAGGCUGGAGUGCGGCAGAGGGGGAUGGAAUUCCGCGUGUAGCAGUGAAAUGCGUAGAUAUGCGGAGGAACACCGAUGGCGAAGGCAAUCCCCUGGGCCUGCACUGACGCUCAUGCACGAAAGCGUGGGGAGCAAACAGGAUUAGAUACCCUGGUAGUCCACGCCCUAAACGAUGUCAAC
rnacentral:rRNA from 1 species